UUAUUAUUAUUAUUAUUAUUGAUGCAUUCUUUUUUCACCGGAAUGCAAUUGUUCUGUUAACUGGUUAUUAACUAUACAGUUGGCUGAUCCAUUUGGUGAUAAGAGGGAGAAGAAAAUAUAAUAUUUGCUGUAAAUUACAGAAAAGAUGUUGAAAAUAACUUUUGUGGAAGUUAGUGCUGCUGCUAUAUAUAAUUCUUAUUCUAGAUACCUUCAUGAUAGUUUAGAUCCAACG
rnacentral:misc_RNA from 1 species